rnacentral:tRNA from 1 species
CGCGACGUAGUUCAACGGAAGAACACUCCGCUUUCUACUCGACUGCCUUUCAGGUCGAGGGUGGUGAGGUUGCAGGUUCGAAUCCUGUCGUCGCGU